UACUUCUACGCCAGCAUGCUAUACAUGCAAGUCGAGCGAACUGAUUAGAAGCUUGCUUCUAUGACGUUAGCGGCGGACGGGUGAGUAACACGUGGGCAACCUGCCUGUAAGACUGGGAUAACUUCGGGAAACCGAAGCUAAUACCGGAUAGGAUCUUCUCCUUCAUGGGAGAUGAUUGAAAGAUGGUUUCGGCUAUCACUUACAGAUGGGCCCGCGGUGCAUUAGCUAGUUGGUGAGGUAACGGCUCACCAAGGCCACGAUGCAUAGCCGACCUGAGAGGGUGAUCGGCCACACUGGGACUGAGACACGGCCCAGACUCCUACGGGAGGCAGCAGUAGGGAAUCUUCCGCAAUGGACGAAAGUCUGACGGAGCAACGCCGCGUGAGUGAUGAAGGCUUUCGGGUCGUAAAACUCUGUUGUUAGGGAAGAACAAGUACGAGAGUAACUGCUCGUACCUUGACGGUACCUAACCAGAAAGCCACGGCUAACUACGUGCCAGCAGCCGCGGUAAUACGUAGGUGGCAAGCGUUAUCCGGAAUUAUUGGGCGUAAAGCGCGCGCAGGCGGUUUCUUAAGUCUGAUGUGAAAGCCCACGGCUCAACCGUGGAGGGUCAUUGGAAACUGGGGAACUUGAGUGCAGAAGAGAAAAGCGGAAUUCCACGUGUAGCGGUGAAAUGCGUAGAGAUGUGGAGGAACACCAGUGGCGAAGGCGGCUUUUUGGUCUGUAACUGACGCUGAGGCGCGAAAGCGUGGGGAGCAAACAGGAUUAGAUACCCUGGUAGUCCACGCCGUAAACGAUGAGUGCUAAGUGUUAGAGGGUUUCCGCCCUUUAGUGCUGCAGCUAACGCAUUAAGCACUCCGCCUGGGGAGUACGGUCGCAAGACUGAAACUCAAAGGAAUUGACGGGGGCCCGCACAAGCGGUGGAGCAUGUGGUUUUAUUUCGAAGCAACGCGAAGAACCUUACCAGGUCUUGACUUCCUCUGACAACUCUAGAGAUAGAGCGAUACCCUUUCGGGGUACAGAAUGACAAGUGGUGCCUGGUUGACGUCAGCUCGUGUCGGGAGAUGUUGGGAUUAGUUCCGGCAACCAACCGCAACCCAUGGAACUUAGUUGGCAGCCAUUUAGUUGGGGAAAACAACGGCCACUGCCGGGGAACAACCCGGAAGGAACGUGGGGGAAGGGCGGCGAAACAACAAUCCCCCUUAUUGACCUUGGCCAAAAACAGAUGGACAAAGUGGAGGGGACAA
rnacentral:rRNA from 1 species